CAGGUGUGUCUUUCCUCAGAUCCAACCUUCCUAUAAAAAAACCUAUCCUGACACAGACGAGCUUCAUUCCCAGAAAAAAUGAAGAAGAAGAAGAAGAAGUUGCUGUAGCAAGAUGUAUCUAGGGUUUUCGAGCUUUUCAACAUCUUCACUGAAUUCUUUCUUGUAGGAGAAAGUCACGCACCGUAGGCUAUUAGCUGCCAUAUCUUUAAUAAUUCUCCUAAACUGUAUUCUUUCGUUUGCAUCGAUGGCUCUUAUAAUCCCACUCGCCGGAAUAUAAAAAUUGUGGGAUGAUAAGAGCCAGCGGCGUGGACGAAAGACUACAGCAAGUUUCGAAGAAUUAUUAAAGAUAAGUCAGCUAAUAGCCUACGGCGCAUCACUUUCUCCUACAAAAAAAAAUAAAAAUUGCAGUGCGUGGAAGAAAGUAGACCGGACCGGUUUGAGAAUCCAAAACCGACUCCAUUUGUAAAGCUAGCUGAGAGGUAGGGAGGGAAGGAAGGUCUGCUUACAAGUGUAGAAGCUGUUGCAGCAAAUUUCUUAACUUUAGCUAGCUUUAUGUGGAUCAAUUGUACAGAAUUGGUAAACUACUACUAAUAAAUUGAUCUUUCAAAUCUUAAGAUGGAACUUGUGGGCAUGUCUAUUUUUUUUUAUGCAUAAUUUUGUUGUGAUUCAUAAUGUAUGUAUGAGUGUGAACAUUGUGCCUGUAACUAUUUAUUUAUUUAUUUAUUUUUUUUAAUGUGAAUGCAUA